AAAUUGAAUCCGUGUUCAGGUGGCCUUGGGCUGAAAAGGGAACUCCGUGUGAAUCGGGGACGGCCACGCCGCUGUGAUCGGGGACGAAACUUGCCAGAGCGACUGUCCUGAGGGUUGAGCCUUCGACGUGACGUUUGUCGAAGGGUUAUGAGGAUGGGAAGGGGCAAGGAGUAGAAUGAUCCGUAAGCCAGAAUACCUGCCUGAAUGCGCUUCACGUU
rnacentral:ncRNA from 2 species